rnacentral:rRNA from 1 species
UACGUAGGGAGCAAGCGUUGUUCGGAAUGACUGGGCGUAAAGGGUGCGUAGGCGGUUGUACAAGUUAGAAGUGAAAUACCCAGGGCUUAACUCGGGUGCUGCUUCUAAAACUGUAUGACUUGAGUGCAGUAGAGGUUAGUGGAAUUCCUAGUGUAGCGGUGGAAUGCAUAGAUAUCACGCAGAACCCCGAUUGCGAAGGCAGCAUACCGGUGCACAACUGACGCUCAGGCACGAAAGCGUGGGUAUCGAACAGG